CCUACGGGAGGCAGCAGUGGGGAAUAUUGCACAAUGGGCGAAAGCCUGAUGCAGCAACGCCGCGUGAGCGAUGAAGGCCUUCGGGUCGUAAAGCUCUGUCCUCAAGGAAGAUAAUGACGGUACUUGAGGAGGAAGCCCCGGCUAACUACGUGCCAGCAGCCGCGGUAAUACGUAGGGGGCUAGCGUUAUCCGGAAUUACUGGGCGUAAAGGGUGCGUAGGUGGUUUCUUAAGUCAGAGGUGAAAGGCUGCGGCUCAACCGUAGUAAGCCUUUGAAACUGAGAAACUUGAGUGCAGGAGAGGAGAGUAGAAUUCCUAGUGUAGCGGUGAAAUGCGUAGAUAUUAGGAGGAAUACCAGUUGCGAAGGCGGCCCUCUGGACUGUAACUGACACUGAGGCACGAAAGCGUGGGGAGCAAACAGGAUUAGAUACCCUGGUAGUCCACGCCGUAAACGAUGAGUACUAGCUGUCGGAGGUUACCCCCUUCGGUGGCGCAGCUAACGCAUUAAGUACUCCGCCUGGGAAGUACGCUCGCAAGAGUGAAACUCAAAGGAAUUGACGG
rnacentral:rRNA from 1 species